GCGGGGUCGGCGGGGCCAGAUCCCGGCUGGCGCCCGGGCGGUUCCUACGCUGAGCCGCCGCCUGGCCGGCUGGUUCCUGCGGCGGCUGCCGGGGCGGCCCGGUCGCGCGGCCCUUCGCCAUGUACACCUUCGUGGUGCGCGACGAGAACAGCAGCGUCUACGCCGAGGUCUCCCGGCUGCUGCUCGCCACCGGCCACUGGAAGAGGCUGCGGCGGGACAACCCCAGGUUCAACCUGAUGCUGGGAGAAAGGAACCGGCUGCCCUUUGGGAGACUGGGUCACGAGCCUGGCCUGAUGCAGUUGGUGAAUUACUACAGGGGAGCUGACAAACUGUGUCGCAAAGCUUCUUUAGUGAAGCUUGUCAAGACCAGCCCAGAACUGGCUGAGUCCUGCGCAUGGUUCCCCGAGUCCUAUGUGAUUUAUCCAACUAACCUCAAGACCCCAGUUGCUCCGGCUCAGAACGGAAUCCACCCGCCAAUCCAGAGCUCAAGGACAGAUGAGAGAGAAUUUUUCCUGGCUUCUUAUAAUAGAAAGAAAGAAGAUGGAGAGGGCAACGUUUGGAUUGCAAAGUCAUCAGCCGGAGCCAAAGGUGAAGGCAUCCUCAUCUCCUCGGACGCUGCGGAGCUGCUGGAUUUCAUAGACAACCAGGGCCAGGUGCACGUGAUCCAGAAAUACCUUGAGCGCCCCCUGCUUCUGGAGCCAGGCCAUCGCAAGUUUGACAUCCGAAGCUGGGUCUUGGUGGAUCAUCAAUAUAAUAUCUACCUCUAUAGAGAGGGUGUACUUCGGACUGCUUCAGAACCGUAUCAUGUGGAUAAUUUCCAAGAUAAGACUUGCCAUUUGACUAAUCACUGCAUUCAAAAGGAGUACUCGAAGAACUAUGGGAAGUAUGAAGAAGGGAACGAAAUGUUCUUUGAGGAGUUCAAUCGGUACCUAACAAGUGCUUUGAACAUCACCCUGGAAAGUAGUAUCUUACUACAAAUCAAACAUAUAAUAAGUCUUUCUCCCUGGACCACCCCAUCCUCAGUGAGCGCCCCCUCUGCCCUGCAGGAGCUGCCUCAUGAGCGUGGAGCCCGCCAUCAGCACCCGACACCUCCCUUACCAGAGCUUCCAGCUCUUCGGCUUCGACUUCAUGGUGGAUGAGGAGAUGAAGGUCUGGCUCAUUGAAGUCAACGGCGCCCCUGCUUGUGCUCAGAAGCUCUAUGCGGAGCUGUGCCAGGGCAUUGUGGACAUAGCCAUCGCCAGCCUCUUCCCGCCCCCCGGCUCGGGGCAGCAGCCGCCCCAGCCAGCCGCCUUCAUCAAGCUGUGACCGAGGGAGGCGCUCGAAGCUGCCUCGGAAGAAGCACGAGGGGGCGCUGCCCCGGGGGAAGGAGAAGUGUCCGAGUUGCUCGUCAUCAAGCCAAACAGGAGGAAGAGAGACAACCCGCAGAGACGUGCUGGAAGAAGAAAAGGCAGCUUCCCCGAGGAGUGGUCGUUUGCCCAGGGGUUCCCAGGUGGAGCUCUUGGCACUGCUACUGAGAUUCGAAAACUGCAGCAAAUUUCGCCAAUGGGAGAGCAGGCUGUUCUUCUGAGGGGCAAAACACAGGGAUGUGCUUAACGUUCUCAUCCUUUGAAAAAUCUGAUUUUUAUCCUAAGGUAGUGCUGUGAGCAGCGCCUCUCCUGCCCGGGGUGGCAGCCGUUGGAUCUGGUUGGUGUCUGUCCACCUGCUGCAUUAGUGCCUUAGCUCUGUGCCCAGCUACAGCCUCCUGUCUGGGGCAGGGGCGGGAUGCGAGAGCACUUGGGAGGUUGCCAAGGGUGUCCCCCGCUAGUCCCACGGGCAUCUGCACAAGCGCGCACCGACUGUCCUGGGUGCUGGGCUCUGCGGACGCUGCCUUGCCAUCAGGGGGCUUGCUCUUCUUGGUCCUGAUGGCAUCCGGCUGGUCACUGGCCAGGGAUGGUGUGGGCUGGGCACCCAACAGCAAACGCUGCUCUCAGCCUGCUCUCUGCAUGUUUUAGAAACCAAGCAGCAAGUUUGCUGCAAACCCGUAAGCAUCCAAUAAGCAUGAGAGAGGAAACAACACAACGUCCUGCUUUACUUAAUAGUUGCGUAGGGGAGAGUCUUUGAAAUAUGAUUCUCAGUUCUCUUUGUUUUAACCAGAAUUCUACAUGCCCUUUGGCCAAGUUCCCUUUCGUUCUGUUUUUUUUUGGGGGGGGGGUUUAACUUUUGUAAAAACCCUUCUAGGGGUCGGGAGAGGGUAGAAUUCCCCCCCUCCACCCCAGGGGGCUCCUCCCCACUUUGUUUUUCUUGCUCUUCUAGCACCUUCUGUGGGAGCUGGACAGGCAGGUUUUGUUCCAGGGAAGAUUCUCCGUCUGCUGCGCCUCUCGACAUCACGGAGAGGCUCUGAAUCAGUGUGUGUCUCGCCUGAGUGGGAGAGUCUCUUAAAAUGGGGAAGAUGGGGUUUCAGAGCCGCGCUCAGCAUCUCUUAAGUCAGCAGAGGUUAACGGCGUCCCGUUAGAUGUAGUUUCUGCUCACAGGAUGGACGAAUUUUCUGCAGACUUUCCAGGAGGCCGUGUCACUAGCGAGAGGAAGCCCCGUAUGCCAUCUGUGUCCACCGUAAGAUGAGUGAACGGUGCGCUGGGAAUCGGAGCAGACGCACUGAACCGGCUCCCCCCUCCCCAGGGCGCGGCGGGGUCUUCCCUCUGGCGCGUGUGUGCUCCGUUAUUCGUCCCUACUUGGCACAAGAAAACAGUUCUGCAGCCAGGGCAGACUUUUUUUUUUACAAAGAGAAGAAACGGCAACACCUCAAACAUGAUGAGAUGUGGUGGGAGCUUAACAGUGAAAAAAGGAAUCAUGAUGGAAAUGAUUCAAUGGCUGCAGCAGUGUGUGUGGGAUGUGAAAGUGUUAUGUCCGGGCUGAAGUGGAGGAAGGGCCAGCUGGCUCGGCCCUCCCGGGUGUUUGGAAUUACAAAAUAAACGUGCGGGCGGUUACCCAGAAUAUAUAGAUAAUGAAGUUUCCAUCCAGAGCGAAAUAAGACAGUGUUAAGGGAACUGUGAAGGCCCAGCACAGCUGAUGGGUUAGUGCUGGGGGCUUCUGAGCAGAUCGUGGUGAGGUGCACACCUACGUAGAAAGUGUAGGGUGAUGGGGAAAGCGUGGAGGUUUUUGUAGUGCUGUCACAUGCGAACGCAGAUUUGUAAUGAUCUUUUGGAUCUGAACUGCAGGGACGUUCGAGAAUUUUCUCUUACGGUGUCUCUUACUGGUGACAGAGCUAAGAAUCCAGGUGUAGGAAGUCUGUGGAACUUGAUGGAUUUUCUAAGAAACCUGAAUCAAUAGCAAUAUAUGUGAGGGAAGGAAGGCUUUAAAGAGAAAAUUCUGCUUCAUUCCUCACGUGGUUUCGAAUAAGUAUCUAUUUUAUGCAUUUAUUUCUGACCAGGUGGAAUGGCUGGCUCAGAACUGUUCCAUAUCCUUCCACGAUGUCCUUGACACAGGUGGUCAUGCCUCGCCCGCAGUCAGUCUUCAUACCUGUGGUCUGUGUUCGUGUGUCCAGUUGCUGGGGAAGGAGGUGGUGUUUUGUGGAGGCGUUGAUUCUGAUCUUGACUCUGUCAUUGGCUGCACGGCAUCAGAGGAGCCCGUGAACCUCUCUGUGCCUUAGUUUCUUAUCUCAUGGAAGAGCUUGUUGCCUGACCCAGGGACUACUUCAAGGGCAUUUAGUGAGGACACAUGAGAUUAGGAAGGCUGGAGAACCUCCAGCACCAAGGUUCUCAAUGCUGGCUGUUUGCUGGAAUCACUUGGGAAGCUUUUAAAGAAUGUCGGUGUCCACACCUUCCCCCUCCCUCACCCCUGACCCAUUAAGUCAGAACCUCAGGCAUCAGCUUGCUUUGGGAUGCCUUGAACCACUGACUGAGAAGGAAGGACAAACACAUUAUUACCUUGGAAGAAUCAGCUAAGGUUUAGGGCUUUAAAAAAAAUUCCUUCUAGAAGGCUAGGCGUUCCUUUAAGAAUGACCGGAUGCUGACGUGAUACAGCGAGUGCCGUCCAAGCAGGUUUUCCUUUGCUCCCUGUCACAGCCUUUGGAAACUCAGCUGUGCUUUCAUCUACUUAAACAGUUUGUGAAGCCUUGUCAGCAAAUAUAAACAGACAUGAAUUUAUAAAUAUGCUAAAUAGGUGUUAAGAUUAUAAACAAAUUAUGGAGAGAAAAAUCCCCUUCCCUCCCUCUGGACUCCCGUGGUAACUAUAGACUCCACUUCCCCAGGACGUGGAAGUGCCUCGGUGUCUGUCUGAUACAGUGGAGUGGGUGCUGGUGGACUUACCAGCUGACGUGAUGUGUCACGAGUGCCUCAGGGUGAUCAUCCCAGACUGGUGACAUCUGGUAGUGCUGGAAAUGGAUGGGAUCCGCAGGACCCGCAAGCAGCAGCGAUGCUACAGAGGGUGUUGCCAUUAAGAAUUGAGGUCGCGUCAAGCAGGGGUGCAUCCAGCCCUGCUGUGGGUGGUGGGGACUCUGCCAGAGGAGACUAGAUGCCAGAGUGGGUCCCCACAACACAUGGGUGCCAUGGAGAAAACUGUCUCUGAUCCUGGACACAGAAUAUGUACCUAAGAGGAAAUGACUCCUGACACAAGGCGAUUUUAUGAAUGUUUAAAAUGCCUGGAGCAUUAAAGGAAUCAUAUUUCAAGCA